GGCCAAACUGUUUUCCAAAGCAGCUGUACCACUUUAUCUUCUUACCAGCAAUGUAUAAGUUUCUCCAUGUCCAACACUUGUAUUAUGUUUUUAUUAUCCACCAUCCUAGUAGAUGUGAACUAGUACUUCACUGUGGCUUUGAUUUGCAUUUCCUUGAUAAAUAAUGAUGUAAAGCAUCUUUUCAUGUCCCUAUUUGCCAUUUAUGAAUUUUCUUUGGAGAAAUGUCUGUUGAGAUUAUUUACCCAUUUUUAUUAUUUGUCUUCUUGUUAUUGAGUGUUAAUAGUUCUUUGUACAUUCUAGAUAUAAGUCCAAUAUCAGAUAUAUGGUUUUCGAAAUUUUUCUCCUAUUCUUUGGAUGUUAUUUUCACCUGUCUUUUC
rnacentral:lncRNA from 1 species